rnacentral:rRNA from 1 species
AUUGAACGCUGGCGGCAUGCCUUACACAUGCAAGUCGAACGGUAACAGGUCUUCGGAUGCUGACGAGUGGCGAACGGGUGAGUAAUACAUCGGAACGUGCCCGAUCGUGGGGGAUAACGAAGCGAAAGCUUUGCUAAUACCGCAUACGAUCUACGGAUGAAAGCAGGGGACCGCAAGGCCUUGCGCGAACGGAGCGGCCGAUGGCAGAUUAGGUAGUUGGUGGGAUAAAAGCUUACCAAGCCGACGAUCUGUAGCUGGUCUGAGAGGACGACCAGCCACACUGGGACUGAGACGCGGCCCAGACUCCUACGGGAGGCAGCAGUGGGGAAUUUUGGACAAUGGGCGAAAGCCUGAUCCAGCCAUGCCGCGUGCAGGAUGAAGGCCUUCGUGUUGUAAACUGCUUUUGUACGGAACGAAAAGACUCUGGUUAAUACCUGGGGUCCAUGACGGUACCGUAAGAAUAAGCACCGGCUAACUACGUGCCAGCAGCCGCCGUAA